AUGGCAGGGAGAGAUGGCAGCGGCGAUGCCGUGGCGAGGACAGCAAGCCAGCGGAUGUAUGAGACAAAUAGAGAUGUAUUACAUCGACAUGGGUGUCAACACCAUGUUGUUGGAAGGGGCAAAAAAUUCACCGAGUUAUACACAACAAUACAUGACCCUUGGAGGGACACGUUCUCUCGUACUCGUGCAUGGCACCCCGAGAGGGUGGGCCGGGCCGGGCCUGUGCUGUUGCGCAACGAUCCACAACCGGUCAAGAUUCCCCAUCCCCUUACAGCCAGCAAGCUGAUCACGGUCGGAGGAAACCUACAACUGUACCGACCCCCGAGCUCGGCGGCGGCGGCGGCGGCGGCCGAGCGACCAGUGGAGGUCGGCAUUGGUCGCUGGCGUCUCCUGGCAAUACAUAUGGCAUCACCAUCUGAUAUGCCGAAAGAGCCUCCUGCUGCGACAAUUCAGGUUCAGGUGCAAUGGUGCGGCACCGAUUAUCCUGUGGGUGUAAAAGCAGAUGCGGAUAUAGGGGAAUUGAAGCGAAAAGCAUGUGAGGUGACGGGGCUCCCUUCAAAAAGGCAAAAACACAUGAACCCUAAGAACAAGGAGUACAAUGAUGACCAUCCCAUUGGCUUGCUCCAACCACCUCACAUGACAGAUCUCAUCAGAUUUCGAUGGGUCAAGAACAAAGCUGUACAAAGGAAAAUAUCAAGUAGGGAGCAUGGAGAUUCAGUGCCUUAUCAAGUUCUAGUGUUCUACCAGCCAGAAGACAGAGCUGACCUUCUUCGUUCGAUCGAACUGAUGCGAACUUGGAAGCAUCCAAAUUUGUUGGUGAUGGAAACUCUGUACAAGGAGACAGGUAACCAAGUUCAGCGUCUUGUGCUAUCACCAGACACAGUCAAUGGCUCGUUGCAAGGAUACAUCAACUCAAGGAAGGAAAAGGGAGAAGAUGUGAUUUCAAAAGCCAACGGCUCCUUUACUGACUUCUUUCUAAAGAUGAUACUAGAUCUUUGUGCUGUGUUGGACCAAAUGGUGAAGCGCAGAGUAUGCCCAAGAAAACUUGGUAUGCAAAACUUAUAUCUCAAGAGCGUGGAGAAUGCUGAACCAGAACUGAAAAUACUUUUCGACAAGGUGACUGCAGAAAAAUAUUGCCCAAACUCUGACUCAAUGUAG
rnacentral:rRNA from 1 species